ACUGCGAAUACCGGAGAAUGCUAUCACGGGAGACACACGGCGGGUGCUAACGUCCGUCGUGAAGAGGGAAACAACCCAGACCGCCAGCUAAGGUCCCAAAGUCAUGGUUAAGUGGGAAACGAUGUGGGAAGGCCCAGACAGCCAGGAUGUUGGCUUAGAAGCAGCCAUCAUUUAAAGAAAGCGUAAUAGCUCACUGGUCGAGUCGGCCUGCGCGGAAGAUGUAACGGGGCUAAACCAUGCACCGAAGCUGCGGCAGCGAACGUAUCACCCAAGACAACUUUACGGAGUUGACGAUUGACGGAGCGAAGCGACGUCAAAGCGUUCAUUAAAGUCGAGUUGGCUUAGGGAUACGUUCGUUGGGUAGGGGAGCGUUCUGUAAGCCGUUGAAGGUGGCCUGUGAGGGUUGCUGGAGGUAUCAGAAGUG
rnacentral:rRNA from 1 species